rnacentral:pre_miRNA from 1 species
CUAACAGCGUUCAUUGGCAUUCUGUCCACCUCCUUGUUCAUCUCUCUUAUUAUCCGCCUCUCCCAUAGUCUAUGUCUAUGCGGUACGAAUGGAGGUGGGCAUGCUGCCAACAGAGCUUUGUUAG